GCCCCGCAGCCCGAGUCCCGCAGCCGGCCGAGGGUGGCGGCGGCAGCGCCGGCGGCACGGCGGGGGGGCGGCACACAUGCCCGGAUUGUGACGUCCAGUCUGGUUGCUGUGGCAACCCCAUCCCAUCGUUCCGGCAGCGCGACUAGUUAACAGCAGAGAACAAGUUGGGAGACUAGUCCUGAGCCAUUGGGUGGAGAGUGGGAGACAGCGCGCUCUGGCCCGGGGAGCCGUCGAGGCGCCCGCGCGCCCCGGGACCCGACGGCCGAGCGGGCAGCGGGGACUCGGGCAAGCCGGGCCCAGUGGGAGGCGGGGAAGCGCAGAGCUGGCCGCCGCCGCCCCCUCCAGAAGGCGCUCGGCCCCGGGAGUCCCCAAGGGCGCGGAGGCGGGGUCCUCGCGCCACCGAACAGCGAGCUCCUGCACUCCGCUCACACGCACCGAGACCCUCGCCUCCCCGCACCCCAUUCCGGACUUGACACGCUUCUAGUCACCUUUCGAAUGAGGAUUGGAAGAAAAAUAUGUUCCGCACUUGAGGAAGGGCCACUCUGAAGACAGCGGGUCUGAUUCCUCCAGAAAAGUCCGUGCAGACUGGCUCCUCCCUCACCCCUUCGCACCCGGCUCCCACCACCCACGUGCCCUCUUCCAAAACGCCCCUCGAGGCUGGGUCCAGUUUAAACACAUCCGGACCCCUAGGGGUGGUGCGGAUCAGCGUUCUCUGUGCCCAAAACUCCCGCUCAGAAGCGACACCUGUCGCGGAGCGGGAAGGAACCGCCACGAGCCCUCGGUUGUUACAGGUGAAGAUGGAGGCCAAAGCCCUGGGGAGCAAGACUGGAAUUUUAAAUGAGCGCCGCCAGUCUCGGCUGCAGCAAGUCUUAAAGCUGUUCAGAAGGCAGAAGUUUCAGUGGCCGGCAGGAUGGCCAGCCCACUAACCUAGAAUGUCCAGUAAAGGGAGGGCACCCUCAAACUCACUGCCUUCAGCCUGUGGAACACACUGGAGCCCCAUGUGGCUGCCAGGGACCUGCAGGAUCUGCGUGACUUGGAAGCCAAGAGCAGGCAGAAGUUCUUCUCUCUAGCACCAAUCCCUCCCAUCUUGGCAGAGCACCUGCCCCAUCUAGGUGGCAUUCAAGAGUACCCAAGCCACACUGCCAUCUCCAGAAGGGCUAUCCCUUUCCUGGGGCCUUCUGGGAACCAAGAGAGUUGUACCUGCUUGGCAAGGGCCCUCAUGCAAGACCUCUUGGGGAGGUUGCCACAACUCAAGGCACCGUAAGUCCAAGUGGCUGCAGCUAGGUGACAUUACUUACAGACCAACAGCGAAACAAAACCAACACUGGAAUGGCAGAAACAAAUGGAUUUUUGACUAGAAAUCUCCAGGAAUAUUUAAAGGAGAGCUGAUUGUUAAACUAUUAAAUGUGCAUUUUAAUGACAAUGGACCAAAAAUGCCUGAUGUUGAAAGCAAUCCCUAAAAAGGUAAAAAUUCAAUAAACUCUGCAAUUCUGAGAACAAGUCUAUCAUUAAGGUUACAAUUUCAGGAGACAAGAUUCUUGUGGAUGCUGAUCACAGAGCUUGUAAUGACACCUCAGUGACAAUUCAAAAUCAAAAUAUUUUUAAAAAAUAUAUUGGUUAUGAAAGCACCAAGGAAAAAAUGUUUUUCCAAGAACAGAGCUGCAAUAGCUGGUCUCUUCAACACACACCCCACUCAGUUCGGGAAUUCCUCACACAGGCACCCCUGAAGUCCCACCUCAGGACAGUUCCUCCAGCAACACGUCCCACUGUGGCCACCUGAUGGCCCCGACAUGACGCGAGGCUUCGGAAGGGCAGUGAAGCACUUGUUCCUGAGGCUUCGGAAGGGCAGUGAAGCACUUGUUCCUGCAGCCCCCACAGCCAGUGGCACAGGUGCAACUGCAGCCUCCUCGGAAGUGGCUGAGACCACCACUCCCAGGGUUGCAGGGUCCUCUGAGAUGAAGGGUGAGCACCCCCUGCCCACCAAGACCUUGUACUUGAAGCCUGUUUCUCAAGGCGGGGGCCUUGCCCCACCCGUAUCCAAACCUCUUGGGGUUGCCGGGGAUGGGGGGGAGGGGCUUCCCAAAAAGGCAGACUCCUGGCCGUGGCCCUGAACCUGAGGAAGUACUUGUGUAAGCCAUAAAUUAAAGCAUCUUAGGGGUUCUUUCUGGGUUCCACCCAUGGUAGCAGCUAACUCACUCAGCUGGUUAGCACAGCCUUAACAGACAGUUUUAGGUUGGCCUGAAAUAGCCUAGAAAAAAGUGUGGAUUCUCAAAUCCUCCCAAAUACAGGAAAGAUAGGAAAAUGUCUGGAUCACAUAUUCAUACUUUUUCUUCCCCGAGGUAAGCACCACUUUGGCAUCUUUUGAGGCGGCUUCCACCUGCUCCCCUCAGCACCGCCUGAUUGCUGGGAUGGCAAAUCCCCCAGACGAGGCCUCUGUCCUCUUCCUCUACCUCCAGAAAGAGAGGUGACCUCCACAGCUUAUCACCCCAAAGAACAGAGGCCCGUCACUGUGAUUAGCCAACACCUCCAGCAGGGGCCUAUCCAGGCUCUUCUCCCCAGGGGGCUUCUGACCUCAGCCAGCCUCGUGCUCUGAGGUUACCUGCAGGGAGGUCUGUGUGCUUGGUACGGCCAAAUCUGUGGUUGUCUCUUGUCAAGGAGCCCCAUCCUAGGCAUGCACACCCCUCACAAGGAGGGACCAAGCACGCUACUCUGCUACCCACACUUGAUAAGCUUGGGAGGGCGGGGGGGAGGUGUCAUUGGAAGUCAUGAGAAUGACCAAGCAGCAAGUCAGAAAAUGAAAGCAAGCUGCCAAAGCCAACUUCCAGCCUCUCCUGAGGCUCCAGGGAGUUCACCAGGGCCCGUUAUCACCACAGCGGGUCCUGUGCACCUUCCAAGAAAUCAUGUCCCCGAAAAAGGCUGUGGUCUAAAUACCCCAGAACAUUCUGUAAUUCUGACUGUCUUAAUCUUUGAUAUGAUUUAACUCCCCCCCUUCUCCCACACAAACAUUUCUGAACACCUCUGUGCUAGGCACCACUGGUGAAGUUAGGACCUCUUCCUGAAGAGGUACGAGGAUGACACUACUCAGAAAAGAGCAGUUUCAGCCCGGAAAAAGCCACAGAAGGGGGUCGCUGAGGCUUUAAGGAAAACAAACAUUAAUGCUUUCAACAGAGAUGGUGUGGAUCAAGCCAAGGGAGGGUGCUGGUAACCAGAGCCAGCUGAGAACAAGACUGCACCAACUUCCUACUUCACUUUUAUGAACGUAAAUCUCAGCUUGAAACUCUCCAUGACCCAAUCCGUUUCUGUGCCUUGAAUAUUUCAGAUCAGGCAGGCGGGUCAUGAGACAAAACAGAUGAAAAGGAAACCGGUCUAAAAUGUGGUUCGGGCACAGCUGGUGUAACAAGAUUCAGGUUCACAUGACACAUCCCCCAUGCGAAAAAAUAAUUUGUUUGCAAAGUUCUCCUCCAGGCUCUGAAUCUGAAGACAUUCUACACGGAGAGCUCCAGAAUCUCACCGAGGCACAGCGGCACAAUCAAGGUGAAAAAAUGGGAAUACAGGACUUUUUUUUCUCAAGCUUAACGAAGACCAAGGUCAGUGUUGGUACAGCAAUUAAUCAGUAGGAUAAACAACAAAAUUUUUGUUGCUAAACAGAUUAACAUGCCAAUCCUUUAAAAAAAGAAAAAAGCCUGCACGAUAGUAGCCAUGUGUUAGCCACUUUAAUACAAAAUGUGAUCAAAACUCAAUUACAAGAGUUCAAGAAGGCAUAGAAAAAGUUUCCAUUUUAUUACAAGUUUUAAAAUCUGGGAGUAAUUUUCUAAAAACUUAUAUGCUAAUUUCAGCCCAGGGUUAAUUUUUUACAACCAAACUAAGAAUUACUACAAGGGAACAUCAUCGCAGCAAACAAGUGAAAUUUGCAAACCCAAGUCAUGAACUUACUAACAAAGUUAGUGAUCAUGGAAGGGGCAGCGCCAAAGAGCAACUGAUGCCUCAGUUAAAUCUGAAAGGACCCCUGCCUUCUGUGAGGGCAGAGGAACCUGCAAACAAUUCUGCUUCAAGAAAUUUGCAUAGAAAUAGAAAAUGCUAGAGCCUUUACCACAAAUGAAAUUGCAAAGCCUCAACAUGUUAAACUCAAUCCAAGGAGCACCAAAUGUUAAAUUGGAGCCAAGGCAGGACUCAGACACUUAAUUUCCAGCUAGGCAACUAGCAGAACACAAGAAUUUCAGGUGUGGAAAUUGGCUGUAGGCAAGCUCUUUAAAAACAUGAAUUUUAUACACCGUCAUUUUAAGACAAUGCAGACAGUUCUGCAGAAUUGUUUAGAUGCUAGAAGGGCACCACAAGGCAUCAGGGUCUCUUUUGAAAGUAUACUCGAUUUUCUGUCAACAACAAUUACAUCGUUACAGCCUCAUGAACCACCUUUCACAGCUCUCUAGGCUCCACACAGGGCAAAACUCCCAAGACAGACGUGGUUUUCUGCGGGAACACCACUUUCAGUUUGGCCCUACUUAAUGUCAGUUUGUCGAAGGACUUUUGACAUUAAAUUCAGCCACGGCCUAACUGGCAUGAAAGCGACUACUCCCAGGGCAUCUCAACCUCUCCCUCAUCUCCUCAGCAUGGACCAUCUCCCAGCGGCUCUCCUGCACACCCACCGGAGAAGCCUCCAGCGCUCCGGCUAUCAGAGCAGGCAGGACUCUCCCUCCUCUCCAGCUC